CCAAAUAGCUGCUUUCUCCUUCCAGUUGUUCUGGACUUGGAACUUCUUGGUACUGGCUUGACCGAAGUCCUUUGGGUGCUACCAGAUGUAUGUGUCUGUGACCGAAUGUCGCUGAGCUCCCUGGCACCAGCCUCUGUUCUGGGAGGGUGGAGACUGAGGAAAUACUCCCUGUGUAGCCUUUGGUCUGCUCGGGCCUGGCAGCAGCUCAUUUUCUGAGGCUUUCUCCUGCCUAGUUCCCUUUCUGCUGUGCAUCCAUUGUUUCCAUUGAGAGCUACAGAGACAGAACGCCCAGCCAUGUUAGGAGACAGCCACAGAAACAAAGACACUGCUCCUAAUGGUUCACACCGUGCGCAGCACUUUCAAGCCCUUCACAGAGAGGUUGGAGAGCUGUGGAGAGAGAUGAAGGCUUUGACCCAGGCACUCGGUUUUGCUGGGAUGGAGAACAUAGGUGCUAGGCACAGGACAAGCUGUUUAGGAGUCCCUCUGGCCUCUAGCUAUGUGUGAGCUUGGAGAAAGCUAUAAGAUCUCAAGCAGAAAAUCUAUUUAAACUACAUGGCUAGCUACACACUAAGGGUAAUUCAGGCCCGUAUUAGUCAUAGACUAACACAGCAGGGCCAGGAGAAGGACUGAGAGUACAUACAUGCUUACUCGCCCUCUGGUAAGAUUAGGUCCCCUACACCUUUGCCAAGAUUUAUGUUCUCUCAGGGCCGUUCCCUUCGCACUCAAGGUAGGAAUAUGCGGGAAUAGCAGGGGCUUCAUCAAAACUACACAAAAGUUGCCCUGUGAAAUAAAUGGCUUGGUGAAUAAGUCA
rnacentral:lncRNA from 1 species